GACGAACGCUGGCGGCGUGCCUAAUACAUGCAAGUCGAGCGGACAGAUGGGAGCUUGCUCCCUGAUGUUAGCGGCGGACGGGUGAGUAACACGUGGGUAACCUGCCUGUAAGACUGGGAUAACUCCGGGAAACCGGGGCUAAUACCGGAUGGUUGUUUGAACCGCAUGGUUCAAACAUAAAAGGUGGCUUCGGCUACCACUUACAGAUGGACCCGCGGCGCAUUAGCUAGUUGGUGAGGUAACGGCUCACCAAGGCAACGAUGCGUAGCCGACCUGAGAGGGUGAUCGGCCACACUGGGACUGAGACACGGCCCAGACUCCUACGGGAGGCAGCAGUAGGGAAUCUUCCGCAAUGGACGAAAGUCUGACGGAGCAACGCCGCGUGAGUGAUGAAGGUUUUCGGAUCGUAAAGCUCUGUUGUUAGGGAAGAACAAGUACCGUUCGAAUAGGGCGGUACCUUGACGGUACCUAACCAGAAAGCCACGGCUAACUACGUGCCAGCAGCCGCGGUAAUACGUAGGUGGCAAGCGUUGUCCGGAAUUAUUGGGCGUAAAGGGCUCGCAGGCGGUUUCUUAAGUCUGAUGUGAAAGCCCCCGGCUCAACCGGGGAGGGUCAUUGGAAACUGGGGAACUUGAGUGCAGAAGAGGAGAGUGGAAUUCCACGUGUAGCGGUGAAAUGCGUAGAGAUGUGGAGGAACACCAGUGGCGAAGGCGACUCUCUGGUCUGUAACUGACGCUGAGGAGCGAAAGCGUGGGGAGCGAACAGGAUUAGAUACCCUGGUAGUCCACGCCGUAAACGAUGAGUGCUAAGUGUUAGGGGGUUUCCGCCCCUUAGUGCUGCAGCUAACGCAUUAAGCACUCCGCCUGGGGAGUACGGUCGCAAGACUGAAACUCAAAGGAAUUGACGGGGGCCCGCACAAGCGGUGGAGCAUGUGGUCUAAUUCGAAGCAACGCGAAGAACCUUACCAGGUCUUGACAUCCUCUGACAAUCCUAGAGAUAGGACGUCCCCUUCGGGGGCAGAGUGACAGGUGGUGCAUGGUUGUCGUCAGCCCGUGUCGUGAGAUGUUGGGUUAAGUCCCGCAACGAGCGCAACCCUUGAUCUUAGUUGCCAGCAUUUAGUUGGGCACUCUAAGGUGACUGCCGGUGACAAACCGGAGGAAGGUGGGGAUGACGUCAAAUCAUCAUGCCCCUUAUGACCUGGGCUACACACGUGCUACAAUGGACAGAACAAAGGGCAGCGAAACCGCGAGGUUAAGCCAAUCCCACAAAUCUGUUCUCAGUUCGGAUCGCAGUCUGCAACUCGACUGCGUGAAGCUGGAAUCGCUAGUAAUCGCGGAUCAGCAUGCCGCGGUGAAUACGUUCCCGGGCCUUGUACACACCGCCCGUCACACCACGAGAGUUUGUAACACCCGAAGUCGGUGAGGUAACCUUUUAGGAGCCAGCCGCCGAAGGUGGGACAGA
rnacentral:rRNA from 1 species